rnacentral:rRNA from 1 species
GAUGAACGCUAGCGGCAGGCUUAAUACAUGCAAGUCGUGGGGCAGCAGGACUGUAGCAAUACAGUUGCUGGCGACCGGCAAACGGGUGCGGAACACGUACGCAACUUACCCUGAACUGGGGGAUAGCCCGGGGAAACCCGGAUUAAUACCCCGUAAUAUAAUGGAGUGGCAUCACUUUAUUAUUAAAGCUUCGGCGGUUCGGGAUGGGCGUGCGGCUGAUUAGGUAGUUGGUUGAGGUAACGGCGCACCAAGCCUACGACCAGUAACUGGUGUGAGAGCACGACCAGUCACACGGGCACUGCGACACGGGCCCGACUCCUACGGGAGGCAGCAGUAAGGAAUAUUGAGCGAUGGAGGCAACUCUGACCCAGCCAUGCCGCGUGGAGGAUGAAGGCCCUCUGGGUUGUAAACUUCUUUUGUAGGAGACGAAACCUGUGUAUUCUUACGCAGUUGACGGUACCCUAGGAAUAAGCACCGGCUAACUCCGUG